UUGUACAAUCGAGACACAACAUCGUACAACCGGGUCACAAACGACACAAUCUUGAAUACAAUCUGUUGUAUCGUGUGUGGCUUGCACAAGGUCUGCAAAAAGAUUGAUUUCAAAGCGUCUUAGCGUUAAGACGUUGAAAAAUUCUAAGGAUUUUAAACGCCGAUUGAGAAAAAUCUUUACAAAAAAUACACGGACAAUUGGAAGACAGCGUGGACACGAAAUGCAUAGUUGUAAAAUGAGUUCCGUGGUUGAAACCCGAAUGUUCGAAGAAAGCGGGGUACGAUAUCUGUAGAUCCAAAAUUCUUGCCUAUAGCCAAUUUGCACGGGGACAACAAAUCUUCAAUGAUUCUUCUGGAUCAGAGCUAUUCCGAACUACCUGUAUAGACCAAAGAUUAAUUCUGUUGGACCUAGUAACAUCAAAUAAUAUUGAUAAUUUUUGUCCAAAAAUUCGAAAUUCGAAAUUUUUUAUCCAUGCAAAAUAAUGAACAUUUACACCUAAAUUAAUCCGAAACGGCAAAUUAUUAAAUUCGAAAUUGGCUUAUCAGCUAGUCAUGUUAUAGUAUUCUUAUAAAACUGAUAAUUCUGACCCUUCCUUUAAGUACCACCCCUACAAAGGUUAAACAAUUUAAUUACAUUC